rnacentral:rRNA from 1 species
UCCUACGGGAGGCAGCAGUGGGGAAUAUUGGACAAUGGGCGAAAGCCUGAUCCAGCCAUGCCGCGUGUGUGAAGAAGGCCUUCGGGUUGUAAAGCACUUUCAGUGAGGAAGAAAGCCUUGAGGUUAAUACCCUCGAGGGAGGACAUCACUCACAGAAGAAGCACCGGCUAACUCCGUGCCAGCAGCCGCGGUAAUACGGAGGGUGCGAGCGUUAAUCGGAAUUACUGGGCGUAAAGCGCGCGUAGGUGGCUUGAUAAGCCGGUUGUGAAAGCCCCGGGCUCAACCUGGGAACGGCAUCCGGAACCGUCAAGCUAGAGUGCAGGAGAGGAAGGUAGAAUUCCCGGUGUAGCGGUGAAAUGCGUAGAGAUCGGGAGGAAUACCAGUGGCGAAGGCGGCCUUCUGGACUGACACUGACACUGAGGUGCGAAAGCGUGGGUAGCAAACAGGAUUAGAUACCCUGGUAGUCCACGCCGUAAACGAUGUCGACCAGCCGUUGGGUGCCUAGCGCACUUUGUGGCGAAGUUAACGCGAUAAGUCGACCGCCUGGGGAGUACGGCCGCAAGGUUAAAACUCAAAUGAAUUGACGG